CCUACGGGUGGCAGCAGUGGGGGAUAUUGCACAAUGGGGGAAACCCUGAUGCAGCGACGCCGCGUGUGGGAAGACGGUCCUCUGGAUUGUAAACCACUGUCCCCAGGGACGAAGAUGACGGUACCUUGGGAGGAAGCUUCGGCAAACUACGUGCAGGCAGCCGCGGUACUACGUAGGGAGCAAGCGUUGUCCGGAAUUACUGGGUGUAAAGGGAGCGUAGGCGGGAUGGCAAGUUGGGGGUUAAAUCUACCGGCUAAACUGGUAGUCGCACUCAAAACUGGUAUUCUUGAGUGUAGUAGAGGCAGGCGGAAUUCGUGGUGUAGCGGUGAAAUGCGUAGAUAUUAGGAGGAACACCAGUGGCGAAGGCGGCCUGCUGGGCUUUUACUGACGCUGAGGCUCGAAAGUGUGGGGAGCAAACAGGAUUAGAUACCCCAGUAGUC
rnacentral:rRNA from 1 species